rnacentral:hammerhead_ribozyme from 2 species
UGCCGAAACAGGGGGACAACCCCCUGUCUGCCGGGGCUGGCCGCCCGGCACUGACGAGGCAGGCCGGA